rnacentral:rRNA from 1 species
UUUCCGGUUGAUCCCGCCGGAGGCCAUUGCUAUCAGGGUUUGACUAAGCCAUGCGAGUCGAGAGGUGUAAGACCUCGGCAUACUGCUCAGUAACACAUGGAUAAUCUGCCCUUGGGUGGAGAAUACUCCCGGGAAACUGGGGUUAAUGCUCCAUAGUGGAUAUAUACUGGAAUGUUAUAUCCUCGAAAGAUCCGUCGCCCAAGGAUGAGUCUAUGUCCGAUUAGGUAGUUGGCGGGGUAACGGCCCACCAAGCCUUUGAUCGGUACGGGUUGUGGGAGCAAGAUCCCGGAGAUGGAUUCUGAGACAUGAAUCCAGGCCCUACGGGGCGCAGCAGGCGCGCAAACUUUACAAUGCGAGCAAUCGUGAUAAGGAAACCCUGAGUGCCUGUCGAUGCAGGCUGUUCAUAUAUCUAAAUCAUAUGUGAAGAAAGGGCAGGGCAAGACCGGUGCCAGCCGCCGCGGUAAUACCGGCUGCUCGAGUGAUGGCCACUAUUACUGGGUUUAAAGCGUCCGUAGCUUGAUUGUUAGGUCUCUUGGGAAAUCUUCACGCUCAACGUGAAGGCGUCCAAGAGAUACCGGCAAUCUUGGAACUGGGAGAGGUAAACCGUACUUCGGGGGUAGGAGUGAAAUCUUGUAAUCCUCGAGGGACGACCUAUGGCGAAGGCAGUUUACCAGAACAGCUUCGACAGUGAGGGACGAAAGCUGGGGGAGCAAAAC